rnacentral:rRNA from 1 species
AACGAACGCUGGCGGCAUGCCUAACACAUGCAAGUCGAACGAGACCUUCGGGUCUAGUGGCGCACGGGUGCGUACCGCGUGGGAACCUGCCCUUAGGUUCGGAAUAACUCCCCGAAAGGGGUGCUAAUACCGGUUAAUGUCUUCGGACCAAAGAUGUAUCGCCUUUGGAUGGGCCCGCGUUGGAUUAGCUAAUUGGUAGGGUAAAAGCCUACCAAGGCGACGAUCCAUAGCUGGUCUGAGAGGAUGAUCAGCCACACUGGGACUGAGACACGGCCCAGACUCCUACGGGAGGCAGCAGUGGGUAAUAUUAGACAAUGGAGGAAAGCCUGAUCCAGCAGUGCCGCGUGAGUGAUGAAGGCCGUAGGGUUGUAAAGCUCUUUUACCCAGGAUGAUAAUGACAGUACCGGGAGAAUAAGCUCCGGCUAACUCCGUG